CGUUGAAACAGCGGUUCCCGUACGAUCAUUGAAGAUAAGCAACGUCGAGUCGAGUCAGUACCUAGAUGGGUGACCGCUUGGAAACAUCAGUGAUGUA